rnacentral:misc_RNA from 1 species
AACGCACAUUGCGCCCCUUGGUAUUCCGAGGGGCAUGCCUGUUCGAGCGUCAUUAUAACCCCUCAAGCUUAGCUUGGUAUUGGGGCCUGCCAUCCUGGCAGCCCUUAAAAUCAGUGGCGGUGCCAUCCGGCUCUAAGCGUAGUAAUUCUUCUCGCUAUGGAGUCCUGGUGGAUGCUUGCCAUUAAUCUUUUAACUUCUAUGGUUGACCUCGGAUCAGGUAGGGAUACCCGCUGAACUUAA